GGACCUGUAGCGCAAUCGAUAGCGCGUUGGACUUCUAAUCCAAAGGGCGUGGGUUCGAAUCCCAACUGGGAUAACCU
rnacentral:tRNA from 1 species